UACGGAGGGUGCGAGCGUUUGUCCGGAAUCAUUGGGCGUAAAGGGCGCGUAGGUGGCCACUUCAAGCGUGCGGUGAAAGUCGGGGGCUCAACCCCUGAUCGGCCGUGCGAACUGGGGGGCUGGAGCACUGUAGAGGCAGGCGGAAUUCCGGGUGUAGCGGUGGAAUGCGCAGAUAUCAGGAGGAACACCAAUGGCGAAGGCAGCUCGCUGGGACGUGACUGACGCUGGAGACGCGAAAGCGUGGGGAGCAAACAGG
rnacentral:rRNA from 1 species